rnacentral:rRNA from 1 species
UCGGGAAUCUUGCGCAAUGGGCGAAAGCCUGACGCAGCAACACCGUGUGGGCGACGAAGGCCUUCGGGUCGUAAAGCCCUGUUGUUGGGGACGAAGGGCGAAGGGUUAAUAGCCCCUAGCCUGACGGUACCCUUCGAGGAAGCCCCGGCUAACUACGUGCCAGCAGCCGCGGUAAUACGUAGGGGGCGAGCGUUGUCCGGAAUCAUUGGGCGUAAAGAGCGUGUAGGCGGUUCGGUAAGUCCGCCGUGAAAACCUGGGGCUCAACCCCGGGCGUGCGGUGGAUACUGUCGGGCUAGAGGAUGGUAGAGGGGAGUGGAAUUCCCGGUGUAGCGGUGAAAUGCGCAGAUAUCGGGAGGAACACCAGUAGCGAAGGCGGCUCCCUGGGCCAUUCCUGACGCUGAGACGCGAAAGCGUGGGGAGCGAACAGGAUUAGAUACCCUGGUAGUCCACGCCGUAAACGAUGAACACUAGGUGUGGGGGGAGUCGAAUCCCUCUGUGCCGCAGCCAACGCGAUAAGUGUUCCGCCUGGGGAGUACGGCCGCAAGGC